UACGUAGGGUGCGAGCGUUAAUCGGAAUUACUGGGCGUAAAGCGUGCGCAGGCGGUUCGUUAAGUUCGAUGUGAAAGCCCCGGGCUCAACCUGGGAACUGCAUUGGAAACUGGCGAGCUUGAGUAUGGCAGAGGGGGUGGAAUUCCGCGUGUAGCAGUGAAAUGCGUAGAGAUGCGGAGGAACACCGAUGGCGAAGGCAGCCCCCUGGGCCAAUACUGACGCUCAGGCACGAAAGCGUGGGGAGCAAACAGG
rnacentral:rRNA from 1 species